UAACUGCUAUCCAACUCUGUUUCCCCUAUAUGUUGAGGAUGGCGGCAGUGAUUGGUAAGCAAGAACGGUUCAACCGCGAUAAUGAUCAGAAUAUCAGGAGAAUGGAAAAAGCCCGCAAUAUUUCCUGGGUAUCACCCAAGAGACGUGUUCACAAAACCCAUAAACAAAGAAGUGUUGAGAAAAUAUGGAAACAAGAACACGAACAUCAUGAUGUUGAAUGGACACCGCCAACAAGAGCAAAAAAUUCAUCUAAGAAAGUGAAAUUGACGCCUGAAGUUGAAAACUUUAAGGGCAAUGGAAUUCCGAAGAAGCGGCGGAGUGCCUUAAAUAGGAGAAGUAGUCUUGUAAUUGUAGAUUCAGAGAGUGAUUCAGAAGAUGAAGUUUUAGAGGAAUUGUGUAUUAUAAAGAUGAAAGAGCGCAAAAGAGCUAGGAAUUCAAGUAGUGAGAUAAUCAAAAGAAACACCAAGGAUAUAACAGCGGAAAAUGUAGGUUUUGCAAAUGCUUCUUUGCACACUUCAUCCUCUUCAUUAACGUCUUCUUCUACCUUAUCUGAUUCAGCUAUGAAGAGUGAUGGCAGUAGCAACAGUAAAUGUGCAAAAACAAACUUGAAGCAGGCCAAAACAGAAGCUCGUCCAAAGUGUCAUCAGUGCAUGAAAAUUGAAAGAAAAAUUGUCGUCCCAUGCCAGAAGUGUAAAAGCAAAAUGUAUUGUGUCCAAUGUAUCAAGCAAUGGUAUCCAAAGUUGACAGAAGAAGAAGUUGCAGAACAAUGUCCCUGCUGCCGUAGAAAUUGCAACUGCAAUUUUUGUUUGCACUCCAGUGGUUUGAUUAAGACAUCAAAAAGGGACAUCACUGUCAGGCAAAAGGUUCAGCAUCUACACUAUUUGAUAAGGGCACUGCUUCCAUUUCUUGAACAACUCUGUGAAGAACAAACUAGAGAGAUACAGAUUGAGGCUAGCAUUCUAGGUUCCUCCCCUGAGAUAGCCGAGAAUUUCUGUAAUAAUGAUGAGCGUGUCUUUUGCAACCAUUGUGCAACUUCCAUUGUUGACCUCCACCGCAGCUGUCCAAAGUGUGCUUAUGAACUGUGUCUCAAUUGUUGUCAAGAAAUUCGUGCAGAAAGUUUGUCAAGUCGUGCUGAGAUUAAGUAUGAAUAUUUAAACCGAGGCUCUGAAUAUAUGCAUGGUGGAGAUCCACUGCCUUGUGUUUUUGAGAAUCCUGAAGAUCAAGGUGACCCACCACUUGUGAUGUGGAAUGCCAAUGACGAUGGAAGUAUUUAUUGUGCCCCAAAAGCAAUGGGCGGUUGUGGUGAUUGUAUAUUGGAACUAAAGCGUAUCCUUCCAAUGGGAUGGAUUUCAAAGUUGAAAAAGAAGGCAGGAGAUUUAGUAGGGCUUGGUACCGAAAGCACAAGUUUGAUUUGCAACCAUUCUGGAGUAGGGAGAAAUAUGUUGCGGAGAGCAGCUUCUAGAGAAGGAUCAAAGGACAAUUUCUUAUAUUGUCCUGCUAUGAGUGACGUUCAAGAGGAUGAAGAGCUCUUUCGCUUCCAAAAGCAUUGGGUUAAAGGCGAACCUGUUAUUGUUCGUGGUGCACUCGAGGCUACAACUCAUUUGAGCUGGGAACCAAUGGUCAUGUGGCGCGCAUUAUGCGAAAAUGUGGACCCAGAGACAAGUGCUAAGUUGUCUGAAGUGAAGGCCAUUGAUUGCCUGGCUGUUUGUGAGGUGGAAAUUAAUACUCGUAGUUUUUUCAAGGGCUAUACAGAAGGUAGAAGAUAUAAGAACUUUUGGCCUGAGAUGCUGAAGUUGAAGGAUUGGCCCCCAUCUGAUAAGUUCGAAGACCUUUUGCCGCGCCACUGUGAUGAGUUUAUCAGCGCAUUGCCUUUUCAAGAAUAUAGUGAUCCCAAGGCUGGUAUCCUUAACCUUGCUGUGAAAUUUCCACCUAGUCUACUCAAACCAGAUAUGGGUCCAAAAACUUAUAUUGCUUAUGGAACAAGAGAAGAGCUUGGUAGAGGGGACUCUGUAACCAAACUUCAUUGUGAUAUGUCAGAUGCGGUGAAUAUUUUGACGCACACUGCAGAGGUAGCUUUAAGUGAAGAGCAGCACACUGCCAUACAGCAGCUCCAAAGGAAACAUUUGGCACAGGAUGAGAAAGAGCGACUCGUGCAAGAAAGGCACCCCACUGAGCAACUCGGUGACUCUAGUGGUAGCCGGAAAGCUGUGGAUUUAUCAAAUAUUGCUGAGCUAGAAAGGCACCCCUCCAACGUUAGUGAAGAACUUGACAUUUUCCAUGAUCAGCUAAGUGGUGCUACACUCCCUUGUUUGCUCACUGAAGGUGAAACAGAUGAGACGUCUGGUGCAUUGUGGGAUAUUUUUAGGAGGGAAGAUGUUUUCAAGUUAGAAGAAUAUCUGAGAAAGCACUCCAUGGAAUUCAGGCACACUUUUUGUUCCCCAGUGCAACAGGUCGUCCAUCCUAUUCAUGACCAGUGCUUUUACUUAACAUCAGAGCAUAAAAAGAAGUUGAAGGAGGAAUUUGGAAUUGAACCUUGGACAUUUGAACAAAGAGUAGGAGAGGCCGUAUUUAUUCCUGCUGGUUGCCCGCACCAAGUUAGAAAUCUCAAGUCAUGUACAAAAGUGGCUGUAGAUUUUGUCUCCCCUGAAAAUGUGGAGGAGUGCCUUCGCUUAACCGAGGAGUUCAGACAGCUUCCAAAGAACCACAAGGCUAGAGAAGACAAACUUGAGAUCUCGAGUCUACUAUUACAUUUAAAUGGGCUAUCGAGCAGAGGAUAACGGGUCAUGGCUUCAUGAUUGGAUUGCAGAUAAAUCUCAUUUCAGGCUUGCCUUUUGCAUUCCCAAAAAUUGCUUCAACCUUUUUCAAGAUAGAAAUGUGGAAUCACCUUUUUAAGGGUUAUCAGGAGCUUAGGUCAAAACUGUUUAAUUUAAUUUAAGUCUAUUUAUCGUUUGAAAGAUCCAUUUUUGGAUAUUUCCCUUGAUGCUACUGUUAGGAUUGUCAUUGAGAGAGGUCUGGAGCUAGAACUGGAGUGAAGAAAAUUAUGCAUUUCAGCACACCGGUUAUUGAAAAUCUUGCACUUCAGUGAGAUGAUAAUGAAGAUGUUGGGGGUGCAUUUGUUAGCUGAUAGCUGGCAGAUCAAGAUCAAGAAAAUGAUAAUCUAUGCAAUUGAUGAAGCAGUUAAAGGUUUAAAAGAGCUAAUAUAACAUCAUUGAGUUGUUCAAGCUACUCCAAGGGGAAGCUAAAGAACAGAGGCCAAAUUGUUUUUUUUUUUUUUUUUUUUCCAAAUUUUAUAAUUUUGUUCUGACAUCAUUUUGCAAGCAAGCAUGCCACCCGAUGACAGCAUUUUUUAGAGUUAUCAGCAAUUAAAGAUCUUUAGAGGUGUACAUCAUCGACUCAAAAAUUUUGAUACAGGAGUGAUACUUCUAGAAAUAUGUUUACGAA